UAUGUCUGCCGACCGUCACC
rnacentral:miRNA from 1 species